GACGAACGCUGGCGGCGUGCUUAACACAUGCAAGUCGAACGGAAAGGCCCUGCUUUUGUGGGGUGCUCGAGUGGCGAACGGGGGAGUAACACGUGAGUAACCUGCCCUUGACUUUGGGAUAACUUCAGGAAACUGGGGCUAAUACCGGAUAGGAGCUCCUGCUGCAUGGUGGGGGUUGGAAAGUUUCGGCGGUUUGGGAUGGACUCGCGGCUUAUCAGCUUGUUGGUGGGGUAGUGGCUUACCAAGGCUUUGACGGGUAGCCGGCCUGGGAGGGUGACCGGCCACAUUGGGACUGAGAUGCGGCCCGGACGCCUACGGGGGGCAGCAGUGGGGGAUAUUGCACAAUGGGCGGAAGCCUGAUGCAGGAACGCCGCGUGCGGGAUGACGGCCUUCGGGUUGUAAACCGCUUUCGCCUGUGACGAAGCGUGAGUGACGGUAAUGAGUAAAGAAGCACCGGCUAACUACGUG
rnacentral:rRNA from 1 species